UUAUCUCUGUAGAGUCUGCAUAUCAAUAAGCGGAGGAAAAGAAACUAACAAGGAUUCCCUUAGUAACGGCGAGUGAAGCGGGAAGAGCUCAAAUUUGAAAUCUUCAAGGUUCUACCUUGACGAAUUGUAGUUUAAAGAAGUGUUUUCUGUUAGAUGAGUAGCAAAAGUUCCUUGGAAUGGGACAUCAUAGAGGGUGAGAAUCCCGUAUUUGGUUAUUCAUUCUAGCUUUGUGAUACACUUUCAAAGAGUCGGAUUGUUUGGGAAUGCAGUCCAAAAUGGGUGGUAAAUUUCAUCUAAAGCUAAAUAUUGGCGAGAGACCGAUAGCGAACAAGUACCGUGAGGGAAAGAUGAAAAGAACUUUGAAAAGAGAGUUAAACAGUACGUGAAAUUGUCAAAAGGGAAGCGUUUGACACCAGUGUUGUUUUUCCGAAAAUCAAUUACGAAUGGCUUGAUUUUGUGUUGUAUUGACCUUAUCAGCUUUCUUCACUUUUUUCGAGUCUUUCUUAAUGCACUUUUCGGUUAACAAGUCAACAUCAAUUUCUUUUGUUGUAAAGAGUAUUCGGAAGGUGGCUUUCUUUUCGGAGAAAGUGUUUAUAGCCCUAUACUUCUACAAUCGGAGAGAUUGAGGUCUGCAGCGUAGAUCCUUCGGGGCUAGAUACAUUCGUGCUAAGUUAUAGCCUUUCAUAGACAACUUGUUGACUAUGAUUCAGUCAUUGUAGAUUUACUCGCUAGUGCUACUUUACCUACGCUUAGGAUGUUGAACUACUGAGACAUAGA
rnacentral:rRNA from 1 species